rnacentral:rRNA from 1 species
GACGAACGCUGGCGGCGUGCUUAACACAUGCAAGUCGAACGAAGUGGCGAACGGGUGAGUAACGCGUAAUCAACCUGCCCUUCAGAGGGGGACAACAGUUGGAAACGACUGCUAAUACCGCAUACUGAAGGAGGGGCGUUCGGCGGAUUAGCUAGUUGGAGGGGUAACGGCCCACGAAGGCGAUGAUCAGUAGCAGGUCUGAUAGGAUGAACGGCCACAUUGGGACGGGGACACGGCCCAGACUUCUACGGGAGGCAGCAGUGGGGAAUCUUCCGCAAUGGACGAAAGUCUGACGGAGCAACGCCGAGUGAGUGAUGACGGCCUUCGGGUGGUAAAGCUCUGUUAGUCGGGACGCGGUACCGGAAUAGAAAGCCACGGCUAACUACGUGCCAGCAGCCGCGGUAAUAC